GCGGGGCGAGCGGGGCGAGCGGGGCGGGGGUGCGAGCCGGGAGAGGCACGACCCGGGGCCGUAGGCGGGGUGGUCUUUCCCGCGGAGUGGCCGCCAGAAGACGGAAAGUUUUUGCAUGCAGUCCUUCCAGCGUGUCCUUCCCUCGCCGGCUCCCUGUGGUCCACCGUGAGGCGCCCCCGCGACCGAGAGGGGAGGAGCCGCUCAGGUGUUCCCCCCUGCCCCCCGACGAGCAUCCCAAAUCCAGGGAGGGGACCCUGGUGACCUCUCCUCCCAGCCACCGCUCCCUUCACCCUUUCUUCUCUGUCUCGGUGGACCUUGGACCGUGGAGGAUUCCGGGGAUGCCUUUGGGAGCUGACAUCAAUGGGUAGAUGGAAGUGGUUCUAAAAAGCAGAGAAUGAACACCUAACCCUCAGCAACCUCUUUGCCAUCGUGGGCUUUUUUCCUCACACAGGCAUCCAGUCAGAGUGUGGCAGGGCUGGGAGACCUGUCAUCCAUCGCUAUGAAGAAAAAGGGUCUUUUUCCUUCCAAUGGAUGAAAGCCAAAUUAUGUUAUUGGAGGAAUACUAUUUGUAGAAUCAAAGGAAAUAGCUAUGGUUGUUACGCAAUAAUCAAGUAAUACGGUCACCUCUUUCUUACUCUCUGAAUCCUUUUACAGACCAUUGCUUACCUACUCUAAUGGGAAAGUUGAUCAGUGCCGAGGCACCCAUGCUAGAUAGCCCUUAUUAUUCCCAACUUACAGAUGAUGAAAUUGAAGCGGAGAGCAGAAGUAAAAUGAAACAUGGUUCCCUCCUGGUUUCUUAAAUUCCAGAGUUAUCAAACACCUGGCCACGGCUAUUGCAUAGGUUGUGCACUGUAAAACUGUGCCGCAGUUAAGGGAGUGCCAUUCACAGCACAGACACCAUAGAUUUAUCAUGACAACUUUCUAGACAGAUGGCAUGAACGUGGCUUGUUCUAACAAAAUCAGGACCAUAAGACUAUUUUGUAAAUAGAAGUAAAGUUUCUUGAAGAAAGUGGGCCUUCCUCUAAUGCCCACGAAGGCACUAGAUGGACUAGGAGAAAAGAAGGAGAGUUAUUGAUAACUCUUCAUACACGUUAGCAGUUUCAGCUGGGAGUUGUAUGGGAAACAUGGUGCCUUGUGUGAUGGAAUAAAUAAAACGAUCUUGCUGUGUAAA